UGGGUAGGUGGGCACAGGCAGCCGGGAUGGGUAGGUGGGCACAGGCAGCAGGGAUGGGUAGGUGGGCACAGGCAGCCGGGAUGGGUAGGUGGGCACAGGCAGCCGGGAUGGGUAGGUGGGCACAGGCAGCCGGGAUGGGUAGGUGGGCACAGGCAGCCGGGAUGGGUAGGUGGGCACAGGCAGCCGGGAUGGGUAGGUGGGCACAGGCAGCAGGGAUGGGUAGGUGGGCACAGGCAGCCGGGAUGGGUAGGUGGGCACAGGCAGCCGGGAUGGGUAGGUGGGCACAGGCAGCAGGGAUGGGUAGGUGGGCACAGGCAGCCGGGAUGGGUAGGUGGGCACAGGCAGCCGGGAUGGGUAGGUGGGCACAGGCAGCCGGGAUGGGUAGGUGGGCACAGGCAGCCGGGAUGGGUAGGUGGGCACAGGCAGCCGGGAUGGGUAGGUGGGCACAGGCAGCCGGGAUGGGUAGGUGGGCACAGGUAGCAGGGAUGGGUAGGUGGGCACAGGCAGCAGGGAUGGGUAGGUGGGCACAGGCAGCUGGGAUGGGUAGGUGGGCACAGGCAGCCGGGAUGGGUAGGUGGGCACAGGCAGCAGGGAUGGGUAGGUGGGCACAGGCAGACAGGAAAGGAAGAAUUAAGAGCGACAACCAAACCCAGAUGCUCUGGGUCCAGCACAGACAGCCUCAGAUGCACGGCCUUCCCA